UGGGGAAUAUUGCACAAUGGGCGCAAGCCUGAUGCAGCCAUGCCGCGUGUAUGAAGAAGGCCUUCGGGUUGUAAAGUACUUUCAGCGGGGAGGAAGGCGAUGAGGUUAAUAACCCUGUCGAUUGACGUUACCCGCAGAAGAAGCACCGGCUAACUCCGUGCCAGCAGCCGCGGUAAUACGGAGGGUGCAAGCGUUAAUCGGAAUUACUGGGCGUAAAGCGCACGCAGGCAGGUCUGUUAAGUCAGAUGUGAAAUCCCCGGGCUUAACCUGGGAACUGCAUUUGAAACUGGCAGGCUUGAGUCUUGUAGAGGGGGGUAGAAUUCCAGGUGUAGCGGUGAAAUGCCGUAGAGAUCUGGAGGAAUACCGGUGGCGAAGGCGGCCCCCUGGACAAAGACUGACGCUCAGGA
rnacentral:rRNA from 1 species